rnacentral:ncRNA from 1 species
UAUCUGGUUGAUCCUGCCAGUAGUCAUAUGCUUGUCUCAAAGAUUAAGCCAUGCAUGUCUAAGUAUAAGCAUUAUACGGUGAAACUGCGAAUGGCUCAUUAAAUCAGUUAUCGUUUAUUUGAUAGUUCCG